rnacentral:rRNA from 1 species
UACGUAGGAUGCAAGCGUUGUCCGGAAUUAUUGGGCGUAAAGAGCGCGCAGGCGGUAACUCAAGUCAGAUGUGAAAUAUCCGGGCUUAACCCGGAGGGGUCAUUUGAAACUGAGUAACUAGAGUACAGCAGAGGAUAGCGGAAUUCCCGGUGUAGUGGUGAAAUGCGUAGAUAUCGGGAGGAACACAGUGGCGAAGGCGGCC